rnacentral:snoRNA from 1 species
ACCUGAACCUGGAAGCAUUGCAGGUGUGGCUACUGUGUUGCAUGAGUAUUAGUGGGUGGGAGAGGAGAGAGGUCUAUGUCUAGCCUCUGUGUUCUAACCUAUGAGCAUCUGAUUUAAUAGGUUAACAUU